UGUUCAAUCGGAUUCAAGUCUGGGCUCUGGCUGGGCCACUCAAGGACAUUCACAGAGUUGUCCUGAAGCCACUCCUUUGAUAUCUUGGCUGUGUGCUUAGGGUUGUUGUCCUGCUGAAAGAUGAACCGUCGCCCCAGUCUGAGGUCAAGAGCAGGUUUUCAUCCAGGAUGUCUCUGUACAUUGCUGCAGUCAUCUUUCCCUUUAUCUUGACUAGUCUCCCAGUU